UAUAUAUAUUUUUUUUCUAUAACAACUUCUAUCCCUAUUUAUUUGCAUUUUUUUCAUUUCUGUCUGUUUUCUUCUUACAGUGAAAGUUAUUUAUCAAGAACCUUUAAUUGUGGUCAUCAGGAUACAACUUAGAAAUGAAUACUUUUCAUUUUGCAAGGAGAAGGAUUCCUGUUACCGAACAGAAAAUUUGAUUCAGGUAUGUCAACCAAGCCUUUUCUCUAAGAUUCUCAACUCUUCUUUAUCAACUGUAGUAGCAAACUAGAAAGUAACAUUAGGUAAAACUUUUGUAUUGCAAGAAUAAAGAGAUAUGAACCACUCUGAAGGGUAUCUGC
rnacentral:lncRNA from 1 species